CAGGCUUUAAAACUCAGCAGGCGUUGUAAUUUAAAACAAGUUGAUCGCAUUGCCUUUAUGUUGUUGCUCAUCAAGAAGUCAAUCCGUCAUCAGCCAUUACACAUCUUGCAGCUUUCAACAGCUUUCAAAUUAUUUGAUUCUUUCAAACCUGCUAUUUUACAUCUCACAGCCCUAUCUUCUCAAAUAUUAACAUGUUCAAGAUGACGACACCGUUACCAUAUCAUGUUUUAAAGAGUCGUUAAGAUCUAGCCUCCCACAGUGACUGCUUACACUUAUUGACAUUGUAACAUUCACGGUUUCUUACUUAUGUUACUCUCUUCCAUCAUUGCUACAUUUCAUUCAAUGUUCCCCUUUGCUGAAAUCCACUAUGUUUAACAACUGAAUUCAAUGAAUGAACAUAACUUGCUGCUUUCUCUUCA